rnacentral:lncRNA from 1 species
UUUAAUUUCAUUUAUUUUUUUCUCUCUUUAAAUCGCAUUAUGCAACCACAACAUUCAUAUUGUUGAAGACAAUACUAUUAUUUACACAUUGUGUCAUUGCCUUUAUACCGUAAUAUAUCGGGGCAAUAAAAUUCAUAUCGGGUUAGGACUAUUGGACACUGUGUCCUUAUCCUUAUUUUCUUAUCACACCACUUAUUUGUCCUUUUUACCAUGAUAAAUAUCCGUAGGACAGUUGCACGCAGUUUACCGAAUUUAUCCUGAUUUUUUAAGACAUACCUUUAUCAAUAAACAUAGGGAAGCAACCCCAAAAUAAUGUUUUUUUUAUUAAGUCAAUAGUAUAAGGGAGAUAGUUAGAAGUGAUUGUUAAAAAAUGCUCUGAAAUUUAUUAGAACAAUAUCAGCCAAUCGAAUUUCAAGAAAUUAUUUUAAAUCAGGUUUUAGAUAUAUUACUCAGGAUUCAGCCUUUGACAACUUCAAUGAAUUGCGAGUAUUUGAAACACAAAACCUAAAACAAAAUUCAAUAGAAGAGGUCGGAUACUUGCAACAGGUCACAUACGAAUUCAUGAGAUUUUUAGAAAUCAAGCUUUAUCUUGCGAAAUUAUCAGUGCUGCAAGAUAAAGAUGCUCUUCUGUGCACAAAAAAAUCAUAAACAAGCGAAGAAAUCUCAAUAUAAAUAACUGGCGAUUAUACAAAAAACAGAAUAAAUAUCUAUACCCUAUUUUCAAAAACUUGUACUAUUGUUUUAUAUGACUCACUAUACCAAGGGUUAGAGCUAAAAAUAAAGAAUAAGUUGUCAAAAUUAACUGUUUUUAAAAAUUGAUUGUUGAAAGCACCUGUUUACUGACAAUGUAAUAUGCCCGAUUUUUAUGGCUAAUUUUGCAAAACUAAAUUUUUCACCCUAAAAAAAAGAACAAAGAAUUCAAAAGAUGUCUAUUCAUGAGAUGAACAGUAUAUGAGUAGAUAUGAUCCAUGUUUGACAUUUCACAGCUUACAUUCCCAUUAUUUUGAUUUAUUUUCAAGAAAAUGAAUUAUGCAAGUAGAUAAUUAAAUGAAUUGCUGUAGC